UAAAAAACAAGUGGCAAAUUGCUAUAAAAAGACCACAUACUCUUAUUUCAAAAGCACAAGUAGUUUGUGAAAAACAUUUUCGCUCUGGAGAUAUAAUUCGAACUCGACAAUUGUUAGAUCCUGAUGGAAAUAUAGUUGGUGUGUCACCAUAUCAGCGUCCACGAUUAGCGCCUAAAGCUGUACCUAGUUUAUUUCCUUGGACAGAAGUGAUACCUGCUAUUGAUGAAAGCAAAAAUAUUUCUGAAUCUAGUCCUACAAGUGCACAAGUGUCUGAACUUCCUAAAUCAAGAAAUAUCCCAGAAGAGAUUAAUGUGAGUGAAGUUUCCGAAUUUCGUUCAAGUACUGGAAGGCAGGAACAUAUUUCCGACCAUACCUAUUAUAGUUGCAAUGUAGUGGAAAAUUUUAAUUUUUCUACGUUAUUGUCAUAUGAUUUGAAUUUACCAUCUUCCUGGUUGCGUAAUAAUAUCACACAUAACGGAAUACCUCUUAUUAGUUUUUCUGUUAUAAGUUGUGAAGUGGUAGAUGGCAACUAUUAUAGUUUUAAUUUAAAAGAAAUCAUGGUUGACUCAUCAUUAAAAUUAUACACAAAUAUAAUGGAAAAAACAUUGACAGAUUCUUCAUACAUUACCGUAAAGAACAAUAUUACAAACAUUAAAGAGCUAGAAGAAUACAUACGCACAAUUAAUGGUUUAAAAGUUUGUAAAGGUACUACUAUAGAUGGACUUCAAGAAUAUGAAAAAUCUUCUUCUUUGUAUACUGAUAAAAUAUAUACAAUUAGGCACAAA